rnacentral:rRNA from 1 species
UGGGGAAUUUUGGACAAUGGGCGAAAGCCUGAUCCAGCAAUGCCGCGUGUGUGAAGAAGGCCUUCGGGUUGUAAAGCACUUUUGUCCGGAAAGAAAUCCUUGGCUCUAAUACAGUCGGGGGAUGACGGUACCGGAAGAAUAAGCACCGGCUAACUACGUGCCAGCAGCCGCGGUAAUACGUAGGGUGCAAGCGUUAAUCGGAAUUACUGGGCGUAAAGCGUGCGCAGGCGGUUUGCUAAGACCGAUGUGAAAUCCCCCGGGCUCAACCUGGGAACUGCAUUGGUGACUGGCAGGCUAGAGUAUGGCAGAGGGGGGUAGAAUUCCACGUGUAGCAGUGAAAUGCGUAGAGAUGUGGAGGAAUACCGAUGGCGAAGGCAGCCCCCUGGGCCAAUACUGACGCUCAUGCACGAAAGCGUGGGGAGCAAACAGGAUUAGAUACCCUGGUAGUCCACGCCCUAAACGAUGUCAACUAGUUGUUGGGGAUUCAUUUCCUUAGUAACGUAGCUAACGCGUGAAGUUGACCGCCUGGGGAGUACGGUCGCAAGAUUAAAACUUAAAUGAAUUGACGGGGUCAUAGCUGUUUCCU